AACAGGCGGUGAUGAUAAUGACAUUUGUCACAAACCCGAAAGCUUCGUGUGGGUUUUCUGUCACUACCUCAUCUGAGCCUGUG
ensembl:snoRNA small nucleolar RNA SNORD11B